UGCUUUAUGAAAAAUAAUAUAAAGUAAUCUCCUGCCCAGUGAACUAAUUCAACGGCCGCGGUAUCCUAACCGUGCAAAGGUAGCAUAAUAACUUGCCUAUUAAUUGUAGGCUAGAAUGAAUGGGGUAACGAAAUAAGAUCUUUCUUAUAUAUCACAAUAUAAACUAAUAUUUAAGUGAAGAAGCUUAAAUUAGAUUAAAGGACAAGAAGACCCUAUAGAGCUUUAAUUUUAAAAUACAAAAUAUUAAACAUUUCGGUUGGGGCAACCUUGGGACAUAUUCACCCACUUACUAUUUGAUCAACAAAUCACAAAACUGAUCCUAUUAUAGAUCAUAGAAACAAGCUACCUUAGGGAUAACAGGCUAAUCCUAUUACAGAGUUCUUAUCAACAAUAGGGAUUGGCACCUCGAUGUUGGCUUAGAAUAUCUUUAUGGCGCAGCAGUCAUAAAAAGAAAUGUUUGUUCAACUUUUAAUAUUC
rnacentral:rRNA from 1 species